GCCCGGGUGGCGGAACAGGCAGACGCACAGGACUUAAAAUCCUGAGUUCCGAAAGGGACGUGCCGGUUCAAUUCCGGCCCCGGGCACCA
rnacentral:tRNA from 1 species